rnacentral:rRNA from 1 species
AGAUUGAACGCUGGCGGAAUGCUUUACACAUGCAAGUCGAACGGCAGCACGGGGGCAACCCUGGUGGCGAGUGGCGAACGGGUGAGUAAUACAUCGGAACGUGCCCAGUCGUGGGGGAUAACUACGCGAAAGCGUAGCUAAUACCGCAUACGAACUCUGGUUGAAAGCGGGGGACUCGCAAGAGCCUCGCGCGAUUGGAGCGGCCGAUGGCAGAUUAGGUAGUUGGUGGGGUAAAGGCUCACCAAGCCGACGAUCUGUAGCUGGUCUGAGAGGACGACCAGCCACACUGGGACUGAGACACGGCCCAGACUCCUACGGGAGCAGCAGUGGGGAAUUUUGGACAAUGGGCGCAAGCCUGAUCCAGCCAUUCCGCGUGCAGGAUGAACGGCCCUCGGGUUGUAAACUGCGUUUUGGACGGAACGAAAGCCGCUUUCUAAUACAGAGCGUCAUGACGUACCGUACGAGAAUAAGCAACCGGAC